GAUGAGCGCUAGCGGCGUGCCUAAUACAUGCAAGUCGAGCGAACAGACGAGGAGCUUGCUCCUCUGACGUUAGCGGCGGACGGGUGAGUAACACGUGGAUAACCUACCUAUAAGACUGGGAUAACUUCGGGAAACCGGAGCUAAUACCGGAUAAUAUAUUGAACCGCAUGGUUCAAUAGUGAAAGACGGUUUUGCUGUCACUUAUAGAUGGAUCCGCGCCGCAUUAGCUAGUUGGUAAGGUAACGGCUUACCAAGGCAACGAUGCGUAGCCGACCUGAGAGGGUGAUCGGCCACACUGGAACUGAGACACGGUCCAGACUCCUACGGGAGGCAGCAGUAGGGAAUCUUCCGCAAUGGGCGAAAGCCUGACGGAGCAACGCCGCGUGAGUGAUGAAGGUCUUCGGAUCGUAAAACUCUGUUAUUAGGGAAGAACAAAUGUGUAAGUAACUAUGCACGUCUUGACGGUACCUAAUCAGAAAGCCACGGCUAACUACGUG
rnacentral:rRNA from 1 species